rnacentral:rRNA from 1 species
UACAGAGGUCUCAAGCGUUGUUCGGAUUCAUUGGGCGUAAAGGGUGCGUAGGCGGCGCGGUAAGUCGGGUGUGAAAUCUCGGAGCUUAACUCCGAAACUGCAUUCGAUACUGCCGUGCUUGAGGACUGGAGAGGAGACUGGAAUUUACGGUGUAGCAGUGAAAUGCGUAGAUAUCGUAAGGAAGACCAGUGGCGAAGGCGGGUCUCUGGACAGUUCCUGACGCUGAGGCACGAAGGCCAGGGGGAGCAAACGGG